rnacentral:lncRNA from 1 species
CUCCGCUACUGCUCAUAAGUUACCUAUCUUAUUAUCUAAGUUACUGACUUCACUUAUUAUGAACAGUUAGUAUAAAAGGUUUUUUGCAACUCUAACCACAAUUUGUCAUUUGUUAUGAUGAAUAGGGUGUUACAAUCUUGACCAUUUCCACCAUAAUCCCAAGCCUACGACCACCAAAAUGUGAACAAGUUGGUAGCUCAUCAUGCAUCCCCGCAAAUAGCAAACAACUUAUGGUACUAUACAUUGCCCUAUACAUGACAGCACUCGGCACCGGCGGCCUAAAAUCGAGCGUCUCCGGCUUUGGCACCGACCAAUUUGACGAUUCUGACAAAAAAGAAAAAGGUCAAAUGAUAAAAUUCUUCGACUGGUUCUUUUUCUUUAUUAAUGUAGGCUCGCUCGGUGCAGUAACAGUAUUGGUGUAUAUUCAAGAUAAUUUGGGAAGAGAGUGGGGUUAUGGCAUAUGUGCAUGUGCUAUUGUUAUUGGACUUGUUGUGUUCUUAUCUGGGACAAGGAAAUAUAGGUUCAAGAAACUUGUGGGGAGUCCAUUGACACAAAUUGCUUCAGUUAUUGUGGCUGCUUGGAAAAAAAGACAUUUGGAAUUACCUUCAGAUUCUUCACUUCUCUUUGAAAUUGAUGAUAUUUUUGGUGAAGGAAAUAAAAAAAGCAAACAAAAGUUGCCUCAUAGCAAGGAAUACCGGUGAGUUUUCCAUCUACUUUUUCUAGUUUAGCUUUAUAUAUGUUGACCUUAAGUGUAUAUAAUUUAUACGCUAGAAGAUCACUAAAUAUAUAAGGAUUUUAAUUAUAUACACUGAUAGUGCAUUAGCCUCUCUGCCUCGCCAGGUAGGGGUAAUGUCUGUGUAUAUACUACCCUCCCCAGACCCUACUGGUGGGAUUAUACUGGUUAUGUUGUUGUUGUUGUUGUUGUUGUUGUUGUUGUUGUUGUUGUUGUAUACUGAUAGUGCAUAACAACAACAAUAAGCCAGUAUAAUCUCACAAGUAUGGUCUGGAGAGAGUACUGUGUAUGCAUCCUUACCUCUACCUUUAGAAUAUAGAAAGACUGUUUAAACCUCGGCUCAAGUAAAAUGAAAAAGAAUCAGUAACAACCGCAAGAUAAUAAGAAAAUAAAAAUGAAGGAAACAAGGGACAUUAAUAGAAACCUAAGAAUAAGAAAUAUAAGGCUAACAUUGAUCCUACUGAUAGUAUAAGAUUUUUUAGUUAAUUAUUAUUUAUUUUUACGAGUCAAGAUGAUUAAUUGAGUCCUAAUUCUAGAAGUUAGGUAGAUAGACAUUACCCCAGUUGAAUCUUGUACAGUAAAGAUUCUUUUUUUUUUAUCUUUAAUUUCUUCUUUUUGAAUAAAGAAGAUUCCCCUUUAAAUCAUGAAAAAUUUGGACGAAGGAAAAUCAUUGAUAGGUUUCAGGAGACUAAUAUAAGCCACAAAUGAGAAAAAUAAUUUUUCUACGUGCGACUAAUAUUAUUUGAAGUAUUGACUUUAUCAUUUAUAUUGUUUACAAUUUUUCAUAAUAAUUCAAAGUAGGUGUCUAUGAUAAGUAGGUGAUGAUUAAUUUUUUUUAAAAAAAAAACAAAAGAGAAGUUGGUGCCAAACUAUGAACUUAUCUCCAUAUAUAGUUGGCCAGUUUUUUAUGGCUAACAAUCAAUCAAUUUUUAAAUAUCUAAAUUAUUUCCAUUUUGAAAUAGACAGCCUAUAAAGUAUUAUUUAAGAUACUUUGCUAUUUGACUCACUAUUGAAUGUAUCUUUGUAUACUAGCCUAAGUUUGGCGGGGUGUGUGUGGGGUGGGGGGUGGGGGCUGCCCCUAAUUCGGAGUAGACAAACAAAUAACCAAAAAGAUAAUUAUAUGUAACUGUGCGUAAUAAUUAAAUAAAAUUAGUUACCUAGAAAAUAAUACAAACAACAUGACUCAACGUGAUUAAACAUUCUUUACAUUGUCAGCGACUUAGCGUAAAUAUAUAUAAAUAUUUAAUUACAAACUCGGUAACUAAGACAAGCUAUAGGUUCAACGAUAGUUUCAAACACAUAUACUUCAAAUAGUUCUGCUUAUAUACAUGGGCGACACUAUAUGUUUUAAAGUGUGGUCACCUGACCAUCCUUUGUCGGAAAAUUACAUUGUGUAUAUAAGUAAAAUAUUAUAUUUUAGAGGUAUACAUAAUAUAUAUUAAAUAUUCUUUGUCGGAGAUUGAACAUCCUUGAAUAAGUUUCUGACUUCGCUACUGCCUAUAUAUGUAGGNNNNNNNNNNNNNNNNNNNNNNNNNAUUCACAGGGUUAGUUCUUUCAAUUUUGGCCAUGAUUGCUGCUGCCCUAACCGAGGUUAAGAGGCUAAAAGUUGCACAUUUGCAUGGAUUGGCCAAUGAUGAAAAUGCUACAAUUCCUUUGACUGUAUUUUGGCUAGUUCCGCAAUUCUUGCUAGUGGGGGCAGGUGAAGCAUUUACAUAUAUUGGCCAACUUGAUUUUUUCUUAAGGGAAUGUCCAAAAGGGAUGAAGACAAUGAGUACAGGGCUAUUUUUGAGUACACUUGCACUUGGAUUUUUUGUUAGUUCAAUUUUGGUUACAAUUGUGCAUAUUGUGACUGGGACAAAAAAUCCAUGGCUAGCUGACAAUUUGAACCAAGGGAGGUUAUAUGAUUUCUAUUGGCUUUUGGCAAUAUUGAGUGUGUUUAAUUUGAUGUUUUUCUUGUAUUCGUCGAGAAAAUAUGUGUACAAGGAGAAGAGACUUGCUGAAAUGGGGAUUGAAUUGGAAGAUGAUGGACCGGUUUGUCAUUGAAAUACAUAAAGACUCUAUCAUCAACAACAAAGGGUAUAUCGGAAACUACCUCUCUAUCUUCGAUCGUAUUGGAUAUGCGCUUGUUACUCCAUCAUCAACAAAAAAGAAAAAGAAAAAUGAGAUUUCAUUUUUUUUUUUGGCUUUAACUUUUGCCUUUUAUUGAUUGAGCUUGUGAAAACUCUUUAUUGGAAGAGUUAUGUAACAUAACUUUGCUUUUAAUUAUAUGUACAAAGAAUGGGAAAGAGGUAAGAUAAUGAAAAGGUCUAGAGCUCUUUUUAUUAUUCCUUUCCUUUUUUACUAUAUACCAUAAUAAUGUAAUGAAUUGCAAUGCAACACUAGGGUUUCAUACUUCUGAAACCUUUUUAUUUUGCUUUAAUUUCUAUCUCACUCAUUUCUCUUUUCCCCUUAAAUUUAAUUUGUUUCAUGUCACACAAACUGUUUUUUAAUCCUUCGAUUAUCCAUUCAACAGAAUAGGCACACAAAAAAAAACGAUUGAAUUUUCUUUUAAUUGUCAAAACCAGCGGCAAAGCCAGGAAUUUUUCUUAGGGUGUUCCAACCUAAAAGAAAUAAAAAAAAUCUCUGACAAAGUAUGUUCAAUAUAUGUAAUAUACCUGUAAAACCUAAUAUUUUACCUAUAUACACAGUGUAAUUUUCUGACGAAGUGCGGUCAAUUCUAUAGUAUAGCUUCGCCCAUGGUCAAAACCCUAGAUGUGAGGGCUUACAUGUUUAUAUAUUGGCUUUAAAUAUGUCAUGUCAUUCCUAUAAGGGAAUGUUACUAAGGUAAAAGAGUAUCACCAGAGAAGGAGCCGAAAUUUUCAUUUAUUGGUUCUGAAUUUUAGAAAGAUGAUUUUAAGUAUUAAUAAUUGAGUUAUAAAUUUAAUAUUUAUACAUAUUUAAUGAACAUUUAAACACAAAUAUGCCAUUUGAACAAAAGUUACAGGGUUUAUCCGAACCUGUAGCGAGGUGCUAAUUCUGCCCCUAGGUAUUACAUAAAUAUGCCAACAUGCACAUGCAAUUGUGGUAACUAGGCUGAUAGUGAUGCAAUAAUGUCGAAAUAUGUUACUUAUUUGUUUAAACACCUUUGGUGUUUUCUCUACUAUGUAAAAACAUGGCUAUAAAUUUAUACAACUAUAUCACCAACUAGCACCACUAAAUUCGAAUUGUUUGAAUCACUAUAAAUUGGUUAUUUGACAAGUCCUUGUUAUGGGCCAAAAACGAGAUGGGCAGCUUUUAUUUUCCCAUUAAAUGUAAUGAAUUGAAUUACCAGAUGGCAAUAGAAAUCCCCCUUUAUUGCUGUCCAUAUAAGCUUAUGAUCAGCCAUUUUUGCUACAUCCCCAUCUGAAUUUCUGUAAUGACAGAUUUGAAAAGCAUCAAACUAGCUUGUUAUCAUAUGACAACGUUUAUCAUAUUUGAUGUGUGAAAAAUGGAAAGUGAUAUGAAAAUUGAGGAUUUAAAUUUUAUGAAUUCAAUUUUUAAGUUUUUUAACAUUGAACCCGUUAUAAUUUUAAGUUAUAAGUUCAUAUCUACUAUUUUUAUAAUUUUCGUGAAUUUUUACACAUGAAUUUAUAUUAUGCUUUUAAAAUUAUGGUUCGAUUGAACCAGUUAGUAAAAUACUACAUUUGCCCUUGUCCAGAGGCGAAUCCAGAAUUUAAACUAUAUGGGUUCAAUAUUUUAGGUUCCUAACAUUGAACUUACCAUAUUUUAAAAGUUAUGGGUUCAUAUCUAUUAUUUAUUGCAAUUUUAGUGAACACGCAAAUAUUUAUGUUGCCUCGAAAGUUACAGGUUCAAUUAAACUCACAGGUACAAUGCUACAUUCGCCCCUGCCCUUGUCCGCAAGAUAAGUAUAAGGUCUGCCUAUAUACUAUCCUCCCAAUGUGAGGAUAUACUGAGUGCAUUAUUGUUGAUAAUUACCAGUUUAAGGAUCUCAUUUCCUUUUGAGAUUUAUUAUUUAAAAAAAACACCACCUUUUGUUGUUCCAUUUACAGCUUGUUUGGAUGGUUGUUACUCAUUUUAUCGUAUUGUAUUGUUAUCCCAAAAUAAUAUUUGGUUUGAUUGUUUUGUUAAAAUUAAUUGUAACGACCCGACCGAUCGUUUUGAGCAUUUUCACUUCGCUCAGUGGUUUGAGCACAUGAGUAGCUUCGUAUGAUGUAUUAUGACUUAUGUGAAUCGUCGGUUUUGGUUUGAGGUUAUUCGGAAUUGAUUUAGAAGAAUGAUUCUCAACUAGGAAGCUUUAAAUUAGAAGAGCUGACCAAGUUUGACUUUUUAGUAUUUGACCUCAGAUUGGAUUUUUUAUGGUUCCGUUAGCUCCUUUGGAUGAUUUUGGACUUAGGAACGUAUCCGGAUUGUGAUUUAGAGGUCUGUAGUUGAAUUUGGCUUGAAAUGACGAAAAGUUAAAUUUUUGGAAGUUUGAUCGGUAGUGAACUUUUUGAUAUCGGAUUCGGAUUGUUGUUCCGGGAAUUGAAAUAAAUUUGUUAUGUCAUUUGGGACUUGUGUGCAAAAUUUGGGUUCAUUCCGGGUUGGUUAGCUAUGUUUCGGCACGAGUUAUGGAUGUUGAAAAGUUUAAAGUUCAUCAAGUUCGAUUUGAGGCGCGAUUCAUUAUUUUGUUGUUGCCAUAUGUGAUUUGGGGCCGCGAGUAGGUCCGUGUUAUGUGAUGGGACUUGUUGGUAUACUUGAACGGGAUCCUGAGGGGCUCGAGCAUGUUUCGAAUUGAUUUCGGAUCAUUUUUCUCUAUGUUUUCAUUACUGGUAGCUGUUGUUUGCGCGUGUUUCAAACCGUCUUCGCGAUCGCGAAGAUUGGCACGCAAUCACGUAGUAUAUCAGAGGAUUUGGCCUUUUCCUUCGUUGCGUUCGUGCCAGUGGCAUCGAGUUCGCGAGCCUUUGUGAGGUUUGGGCAUUGUCACACCCCUUUUUACUCCUCCAAAGGAUAAUGAACGUUAUGGAUUGUAGGUUAAAAAGUUUUUCCAAUUAAAGUGACAAACUUGAGUAGGAAUUAUUUUAUUUACAUAGUCGCCACUUGGAAUUGAUUUUUAGGUGUUCCAAGUUACCUUUUAUUUGAAUCCCUAGUCAAAGGAAGAUUUGACUCUAUUUUUUAUCGGUCUCCGAAAAUAAAGUUCGGGUAAGAAAUUCUGUUGACCGGGGAGAAGGUGUAAGGCAUUCCCCGAGUCCCGGGGUUCUAGCACGGUCACUUUAUUGACUAUAUUUGGCUUAAAUUAAUUUUGGAUAAAACUGCAAUUUAUUUGAUUUUUAUGCUUUUCAUAUGUCUGCUUUUAUUUAUUAAAAAAAAUAAAGAAACGAUUUGAAUAAUAUUGAAUUGACCUAACCGUAGCACGCUAGCGAAUGCAUGAUCUAAACAAAAUUUACUAAUUUUGUAAUAAUCACCUUACGCAAGUGAAUCCGCAGUUGUGACAAAAGAUUAUUAGCACGUUAUUACUCUUGGAAAAAUAUCUAUAUUUUAUAUUGCUUUAUUAUGGACAAUAGGCCAACCAAAAUAAGUUCAUUUGGCCAAAGCCUGUUUCUCGUAACCCCGUUUAAGAACUAACGUGAGAGAUAGGCUAAACUAUAAGCAAAUAAUUAACUAAAGAUAUAAUAUUAAAUACUAAUAGAAUAUACUAGGAUAAAAAUUAUUUAAAAUUCCUAUGGCCCACUAAUGUUACAAUUAGCCUAAACCCACAAUCUUUUACUUUCUGUCAAGCAAACACAUGGCCCAUUAUUCAGUCAGCUAUUCCCUUCCCCAAUAUUCUUAACAGAAUUAAUUCACAAAGAGAUCCUAUACUCAUGACAUUAACAGAAGAAAAGUAAUGGACAAACAUCCAUGAAUGAUAAAUAAAUUAAUAGAACGACCAAGGAACUUCAAUAAAAGUGGUAAGUAUGAACCUUUACAUUCAGCGAAUAAGCCUCUUCAAUAGAUCCAAACAUGAAGCUCCAACAUCAUCAAAGAUAUAUGAAAACCCGAAGCUACAACCCGGAAAAAGAACUCGAACAGGACCUGCGACACGAGACUGCAUCGGAACCUCGAAACUCAGUAGUAGAGAAACACAACAAAAAGAUGAGCGAUUUGUGAUGUUGAUUGGGGAUUAUUUCGCUGAAACUUUUGGGGCUGAUUUAUGUUGGUAUUUUGAGGAGGCUUCAAGGUGCCUAAAGGUGUUUGAGAUGGUGGGGAAGAUGGCUAAUUUUUAGGCAUUUUGCAGCUGAUUUUUGGCUGGAUUUAGGGGGGCCGUUUUGAGGUGGAAAAGAGAUGAUAUCUGUGAAGAAGAACUUGUUCCGUCGUGUUAAGCUAUCUCCUCUUAUGAAGUUUUUAGAGGUGCUUUUUAUGGUAGAAAAAUGGAUGUUUUCAAUGAUCAAAACAAAAAGAAAAGAUGGGAUCCCCUUUUUUUUUAGUCCUAUUUGUGAGGGCUUGUUCUCCUCCUUUUUUCAAGUGGAGACAUCUCCUUUUCUUAACUCAUUUACUUUUCUAAUCUCCAUCCCCUCUUUCAUGCCCCUUUCCCCGUUCAUAUUUUCUGCUUUUUUCUCCUCUUUGAAAUCCUUGAUCAAGAAAAAAGAAAAAAGAAAAAUAUGUGGAUCCCCUGCUAUGAUUGUGUGUGAGUCUUGGGCCCAAAGAACGUGGGUCAAAGUGAAAAGAACUAAGAGAAAUAUUUUUUCCUUUUUUAUGUAAUUGGCAUGUGAAAAUGAGGUAUUACCUUUUCUUUCUUUUAUAAGAAUAAAAACUAUAA